rnacentral:snRNA from 1 species
AGCUUUGCGCAGUGGCAGUAUCGUAGCCAAUGAGGUUUAUCCGAGGCGCGAUUAUUGCUAAUUAAUAGGUAUUAAUAAAGGAGAUCAUGUGUUCUGACUGGAUUGUGGAGAUAAAUAAGCAUCUACAUAGAU